rnacentral:lncRNA from 1 species
CCCCCUCUCAAAUCGGCCCUCCAAUUAAACCCCCAUCCCCCUCUUUAAAGGGUGUGGGUAAUAAAAUUCAACUCUGUUUGUUUACAGAAAGAACUAAUUGAACUGUUAAAUAAUUAAUGCAAUGACACAACUUUUCUUUAUCUUUUUCGUUCUUGAGAUAUGUUAGGUUGUUAAAAUUUAUGAUACUGGUAAAUAUUCAGUUCAAAGACAGCAGUCACGCCAAAGUCAUAAAGCUCAUGCACCGUUCAAAACAACUAAGCUUUCAACAUAUUUCAUAAAUCAAACUUAUAAAUAACUUCAAAUGUAUAUGUAAAACUUUAUUUAGAGACACUAACCUCGUCAACGGUCGCUGAUUUCCACGAGGGCCGUCAAGUAUUUUAAAAAUUACAAUGUUAAUGAUAACAGAUUCACAGAGAAGAACUACUUUGCAGUCUCAGAUGUAGAACUCAUAGAUAUCUCAUAUGAGAUAUCUAUGGUAGAACUACUUUGUAGAUAUACUGUGAAUAAAGC